rnacentral:rRNA from 1 species
GUGCCAGCCGCCGCGGUAAUACGUAGGGUCCAAGCGUUAAUCGGAAUUACUGGGCGUAAAGCGUGCGCAGGCGGUUGUGUAAGCCAGAUGUGAAAUCCCCGGGCUUAACCUGGGAAUGGCAUUUGGGACUGCACGGCUAGAGUACGGCAGAGGAGACUAGAAUUCCUGGUGUAGCAGUGAAAUGCGUAGAUAUCAGGAGGAAUACCGAUGGCGAAGGCAGGUCUCUGGGUCGAUACUGACGCUCAUGCACGAAAGCGUGGGGAGCAAACAGGAUUAGAUACCCUUGUAGUCC